rnacentral:rRNA from 1 species
GUACACAAAAAUGCACAUGCUGUGAGCUCGAUGAGUAGGGCGGGACACGUGGUAUCCUGUCUGAAUAUGGGGGGACCAUCCUCCAAGGCUAAAUACUCCUGACUGACCGAUAGUGAACCAGUACCGUGAGGGAAAGGCGAAAAGAACCCCGGCGAGGGGAGUGAAAAAGAACCUGAAACCGUGUACGUACAAGCAGUGGGAGCACAGAGCAAUCUGUGUGACUGCGUACCUUUUGUAUAAUGGGUCAGCGACUUAUAUUCUGUAGCAAGGUUAACCGAAUAGGGGAGCCGAAGGGAAACCGAGUCUUAACUGGGCGUUAAGUUGCAGGGUAUAGACCCGAAACCCGGUGAUCUAGCCAUGGGCAGGUUGAAGGUUGGGUAACACUAACUGGAGGACCGAACCGACUAAUGUUGAAAAAUUAGCGGAUGACUUGUGGCUGGGGGUGAAAGGCCAAUCAAACCGGGAGAUAGCUGGUUCUCCCCGAAAGCUAUUUAGGUAGCGCCUCGUGAAUUCAUCUCCGGGGGUAGAGCACUGUUUCGGCAAGGGGGUCAUCCCGACUUACCAACCCGAUGCAAACUGCGAAUACCGGAGAAUGUUAUCACGGGAGACACACGGCGGGUGCUAACGUCCGUCGUGAAGAGGGAAACAACCCAGACCGCCAGCUAAGGUCCCAAAGUCAUGGUUAAGUGGGAAACGAUGUGGGAAGGCCCAGACAGCCAGGAUGUUGGCUUAGAAGCAGCCAUCAUUUAAAGAAAGCGUAAUAGCUCACUGGUCGAGUCGGCCUGCGCGGAAGAUGUAACGGGGCUAAACCAUGCACCGAAGCUGCGGCAGCGACGCUUAUGCGUUGUUGGGUAGGGGAGCGUUCUGUAAGCCUGCGAAGGUGUGCUGUGAGGCAUGCUGGAGGUAUCAGAAGUGCGAAUGCUGACAUAAGUAACGAUAAAGCGGGUGAAAAGCCCGCUCGCCGGAAGACCAAGGGUUCCUGUCCAACGUUAAUCGGGGCAGGGUGAGUCGACCCCUAAGGCGAGGCCGAAAGGCGUAGUCGAUGGGAAACAGGUUAAUAUUCCUGUACUUGGUGUUACUGCGAAGGGGGGACGGAGAAGGCUAUGUUGGCCGGGCGACGGUUGUCCCGGUUUAAGCGUGUAGGCUGGUUUUCCAGGCAAAUCCGGAAAAUCAAGGCUGAGGCGUGAUGACGAGGCACUACGGUGCUGAAGCAACAAAUGCCCUGCUUCCAGGAAAAGCCUCUAAGCAUCAGGUAACAUCAAAUCGUACCCCAAACCGACACAGGUGGUCAGGUAGAGAAUACCAAGGCGCUUGAGAGAACUCGGGUGAAGGAACUAGGCAAAAUGGUGCCGUAACUUCGGGAGAAGG